UAGGUAAACAGCCUUAGUAGCUUAAUAAAAGCA
rnacentral:tRNA from 1 species